GCAAUUGCAAUAGAAAGAAUGGAUCACGUUAUGAUAAGCAGCAUGAAAAUGAUACAACGCCGUCCACCACUCACAUACGGUCGGUCAUACGAACACCGCGCUCUCCCCCUUCCACCAAUGCGCGCACACACAACAACAACAACAACAACGAUCAAAUCGAAAGGGAAGAAUCAACAAAUAGAUUACAGCAAAGAAGGUGAGCACGUAGCUCAACAGAAGAGAUAGCCAAAGGCGAGGGCAGCCACCGAGGCUAGGGCCGCGGCGGCGGUCGACGGGGCGGGGGCGCUUGAGGUGGGGCUGGGGGCGGGCGCCUCGGCCGCGGCGGACUGCUGCACCAUGGAAGAGGCCAUCAGCACGGCCAUCAUGGCCAUGGCGAACAGCUUGAGCCUGAGAGAUGCCUCCAUUGCUAGUAGCACGACAAACAAAGGAGGAAGAGGAGGAGGAGGAGGAGGAGGAGAUGCGUAGAGGAUGCAACUGAGAGGGAGAGGAGGAGGAGGAGGAGGAGGAGGAGGAGAAGGGGGGUUUUGUAAGGAGAAUGGGAAGCUUGGACUUGGACAGAAACAGGCUGGAUUCACUGGUGUCUUCUUCCUUUACCAUGUGUUUGGUCAGCUCAAGUGUCCCGACAAGGAUGGUGGGUAGGGCUUUUG
rnacentral:lncRNA from 1 species